UAUCUUCUCUCGAGGUUCUGAGUGUUGAGAGUGGUUGCUCAUUGUUUCUGUAUUCAAAUACUGAUGAAUCAACACUUCCAAAAGAUAUACUGAUGGCCAAAGAAGAUUGGGGAAGUUCCACUAUGUUCCUACAGACUGUUGGCCAAAAAAGAUUGGGGGAAAAUAGCUCUGGAGAAGGAUUGAGAUGAAAAUGGGAUUGGGAUCUCACUUCGCAAUGCAUUGAAGAAUCAUGAUAAUUUUUACAGGCUGUUCUUUCUUUAGUACCAAUGAAUAACUUGGUUACACAAUAUACUUGAAGAUUGCAUUAGGAACAAAAUGCU